CCAACAGGGAUUGCCUUAGUAACGGCGAGUGAAGCGGCAACAGCUCAAAUUUGAAAUCUGGCCUUGGCCCGAGUUGUAAUUUGCAGAGGAUGCUUCUGGUGCGGUGCCUUCCAAGUCCCCUGGAACGGGGCGCCAAAGAGGGUGAGAGCCCCGUCUGGUUGGACGCCAAUCCUGUGUGAAGCUCCUUCGACGAGUCGAGUAGUUUGGGAAUGCUGCUCUAAAUGGGAGGUAGACCCCUUCUAAAGCUAAAUAUUGGCCAGAGACCGAUAGCGCACAAGUAGAGUGAUCGAAAGAUGAAAAGCACUUUGAAAAGAGGGUUAAACAGUACGUGAAAUUGUUGAAAGGGAAGCGCUUGUGACCAGACGUGCGCCGGGUGUUCAGCGGGCGUUCUCGCCCGUGUAUUCGCCCCGGCGCAGGCCAGCGUCGGUUCGGAUGGGGGGAUAAAGGCGUUGGGAAUGUGGCUCCCUCGGGAGUGUUAUAACCCAGCGUGCCAUGCCCCCGUCUGGACCGAGGUUCGCGCUCUGCAAGGACGCUGGCGUAAUGGUCCCCAGCGGCCCGUCUUGAAACACGGACCAAGGAGUCGAGGUUUUGCGCGAGUGUUUGGGUGUCAAACCCGCACGCGUAAUGAAAGUGAACGCAGGUGGGAGCUUCGGCGCACCACCGACCGAUCCUGAUGUUCUCGGAUGGAUUUGAGUAGGAGCGUAGGGCCUCGGACCCGAAAGAUGGUGAACUAUACUUGGAUAGGGUGAAGCCAGAGGAAACUCUGGUGGAGGCUCGCAGCGGUUCUGACGUGCAAAUCGAUCGUCAAAUCUGAGUAUGGGGGGCGAAAGACUAAUCGAACCAU
rnacentral:rRNA from 1 species